UGCUGAGCCCUGAGGGUUGGACUGGAGAGCUCUGGACUGGUAACAUCUCCAUGUCCCUGGGAGCCCUGGGAAGAGGUGAAGAAUCACCUCUUCAGUUUGGGUGAGGAGUGGAAGUUCCGGAAUUUCAAGUAUUUUAUUUUAGGAAUAGCAGCGAAAACACUGACUUUCAGACAUUUUUCAACCAGACUUUCCUGGUGUGUAGUAGCCGUCUCCGCUCUGGCAUCCACAGAAUUGUAGCGGGGUGGUUAAUUUCUGAGAGAUAGGCAGGCGGCAGCCCGUCCCGCACCUCAGGACGUUUCCGGUGUCAUUAGUUAAUUAGCAUGGAUGUCUUUCCUCGGGGUCUGUUGCUUACAUUGUAAGAUUCCACAGGAUUUGUUCAGCUGGGGAAAAGCCACUGGAGUCCUCAAGGCCUUGGCUGGCCAGACCUUUCUGAGCGUUACUCCCAAGGGGAAAGAGAGAAGAGGAGCCCACGGCCUUUCUGAUGCUCUCACCUUCCUGCAGUCUUAGUGGUGCGGUGCCGGGAGGGCUGUGAGAUCUGAGCUGUGUGGGUGGCCCGUGCUGGGCCUUUGCCCACUUCUGGGGUGUAGACGUUCCCACUGGCAGAUUUCAAGCUGCUGACAGCGACAGAUAACCUCGUGAGCAGAGGAGUGAAGGGUAGUGCAGCAGGCAGUGAGGGGUGUCGUGGAGUCAGUGCCUCGGGAUUAAUAUGAUUUUACUUCAUUUUAAGUUGUGGGGGUGGCUGUUUCCCCACCAGCUCACAGAUCCCUGAAUAGUGGCUCAGCGUGCGCACAUAUUGCAACAGAACCCCCCAA
rnacentral:lncRNA from 10 species